UGUGGCUUGUCUUAAACUUUGGGCCUAGUCU
rnacentral:piRNA from 1 species